ACCGGAGUUCAGGUAAGGGUUCAAUCUUUCUUCCCAUGGUUUUAGACUCCUCACCGACCGUCAGGAUCGCCGAAAAAUCCAUGAACAAGAAGAUCCCCUGUUUUUCGAAAAAAAAAGAGCUGCCGGCCGUCCGCUGCUGGCCACCACCGGCCGAACUCCAUCGCUGGCCAUUGUCGGAUCUCCGACCAAGCCGUCGGAGCCCGAGCCACCGGGGGGGGACCUCACGGUCUUCCCCUGUUUCAGCCAAGGGAGGCCGCAGGAAGAAGAAGAAAAGAAGAAGAAGAAGAAAAAGAAAAGAAAAGAAGAAAGAAAGAAAGAAAAGAAAAGAAAAAGAAAAAAGAAAAAAGAAAAAAAGAAAAGAAAAAGAAAAAAAAAAAGAAA
rnacentral:lncRNA from 1 species